UGCAAGUCGACGAACUUCCGUUAAUUGAUUAUGACGUACUUGUACUGAUUGAGAUUUCAACACGAAGUGAGUGGCGAACGGGUGAGUAACACGUGGGUAACCUGCCCAGAAGUAGGGGAUAACACCUGGAAACAGAUGCUAAUACCGUAUAACAGAGAAAACCGCAUGGUUUUCUUUUAAAAGAUGGCUCUGCUAUCACUUCUGGAUGGACCCGCGGCGUAUUAACUAGUUGGUGAGGUAAAGGCUCACCAAGGCAGUGAUACGUAGCCGACCUGAGAGGGUAAUCGGCCACAUUGGGACUGAGACACGGCCCAGACUCCUACGGGAGGCAGCAGUAGGGAAUCUUCCACAAUGGACGCAAGUCUGAUGGAGCAACGCCGCGUGAGUGAAGAAGGGUUUCGGCUCGUAAAGCUCUGUUGUUAAAGAAGAACGUGGGUAAGAGUAACUGUUUACCCAGUGACGGUAUUUAACCAGAAAGCCACGGCUAACUACGUGCCAGCAGCCGCGGUAAUACGUAGGUGGCAAGCGUUAUCCGGAUUUAUUGGGCGUAAAGCGAGCGCAGGCGGUCUUUUAAGUCUAAUGUGAAAGCCUUCGGCUCAACCGAAGAAGUGCAUUGGAAACUGGGAGACUUGAGUGCAGAAGAGGACAGUGGAACUCCAUGUGUAGCGGUGAAAUGCGUAGAUAUAUGGAAGAACACCAGU
rnacentral:rRNA from 1 species